rnacentral:lncRNA from 1 species
UAAAUUCAAUAAGUCUAGUUAACCAAAAAUAAAACAUAAUUCUAAUUAGUUACAAAAUAAAACCCUAAAAUAGUUUAUUCAAAACAAAAUCGUAAAUUCUUCAACUCUCAAUCAACUUAUCGUGCUAUAUUGUAUCUAAAUUAUCUGCAUUAACAUAUGUUCUUGUAUAACGGCACAAGUUAUAUGACCAUCGCAACACAUAAGCAAACACACAGGGGUAAGCUAACCGAGAAUCAAACAUAAUCCAAAAUAAAAGAACUCCCAAAUGUCAAACAUUUCUCUCAAUAUUAAAGAGGCAAAUAACUUAAACACAGUUAUAAAUCAUUAGCACAAAACCCUACCAUACCACAUAUUCCUCCUAACUGAAAAGUUCAAGUCUUCUUGUCAUUACAACAAGACCUACUUCCCUUACCCCUCAUGGACUUACGAGUAAAAAUUUCGGUGAAUCUCACACUGAGCACUAUACUUCGCAAUGAGUCAGAAUAGUGGCGAAACAUCUUCUCUCCACUGCAUUGUGUUAGCAAAAGCAUAGAAGUUUCGAUGUUGUCCAAAUUGUUAAGACAAAAUCGUCUAUACGCCUAAACACUCUCAUGUUUUGAAGUUUAAGCAAAUAACAUUAAAUGAAAUAAUAAUAUGGAAAUACCAUAGGAAGAAACAUAAGAAUUAGAACCAAAAUCCCCAACAUAGAAGAAACCUUGGAAAAACAGCUAGGAUUUUAGGAAACAGAAAAACAACUAAGUCAAAACAUCCAUACGCAAUGUUAAACGACUGUUAAGUCAAAAGCGUCUAAGAGGGUUGAAGCUAAAUGCGUAAAGCUUAUCAUACCCAAAAGGUGUUCAGUUUAACUCACGGAAAAACAAAACAAUGUCAAGACAAUGUCAUUGACAAAAACAUUCUAAAAGAUUAAAACUUAAAAUAAUAAAUAAAACACAACAAUGUUAAACAUUUUUUAUCUAAAAAGGCAAAAUCACAAGAAAUGUUUACUCAG